rnacentral:rRNA from 1 species
UACAGAGGUCCCAAGCGUUGUUCGGAUUCACUGGGCGUAAAGGGUGCGUAGGCGGCGGGGAAAGUUUGAUGUGAAAGCUCCGGGCUUAACCCGGAAAUUGCAUUGAAAACUCCCCCGCUAGAGGAUUGGAUGGGAGACUGGAAUUCUCGGUGUAGCAGUGAAAUGCGUAGAUAUCGAGAGGAACAUCAGUGGCGAAGGCGAGUCUCUGGACAAUUCCUGACGCUGAGGCACGAAAGCCAGGGUAGCAAACGGG